AUACGGAGGUUCCGAGCGUUAAUCGGAAUUACUGGGCGUAAAGCGCGCGUAGGUGGAUGUAUAAGUCAGAUGUGAAAGCCCUGGGCUCAACCUAGGAACUGCAUUUGAAACUGUACGUCUAGAGUAUGGUAGAGGUGAGUGGAAUUUCAGGUGUAGCGGUGAAAUGCGUAGAGAUCUGAAGGAACAUCAGUGGCGAAGGCGACUCACUGGGCCAUUACUGACACUGAGGUGCGAAAGCGUGGGUAGCAAACAGGAUUAGAAACCCUAGUAGUCC
rnacentral:rRNA from 1 species